CAUUUCAACAACCUGGGAUUUGAAAAUUUUCCAUAAUGUGAGAGAAAUGAUUUUGAAGUGCAUUGCAGAUAUGUAAUUCACACAUGUACUGGAAGAUACUGUAUUCUAAUUGGUGGCACAUUUGUAUCUAUAUUAUCAUAUAACAACAGCGAAGGCUGCUGCAGCUGGGGAAGCUGCUAAAACCGAACGAAGAACAAACCAAAUUGAGCAGGUUUCAGAAGCUAACACAUCCAAUUUAUCAGAAAAAGACUUGAACACAAUUAUAUCAAAUGUUGUUCCUGCUGUCACGCAAGGUAUGUUGUAGGUUUUAAAAGACUUGAAGGUACUACCGCCUGACUAUUCAGAACCAAAACUUCGGAAAAGAACAGAUACCUUUGGAAUC
rnacentral:lncRNA from 1 species